rnacentral:pre_miRNA from 1 species
AAAGUACUCCCUCCGUCCCAAAAUUCUUGUCUUAGAUUUGUCUAGAUACGGAUGUAUCAAGUCACAUUUUAGUAUUAGAUACAUCUGUAUCUAGACAAAUCUAAGACAAGAACUUUGGGACAGAGGGAGUAGUUG